UCGAUGGUGGUUGUUAUGGUGGAGGUGGGUGGUGGAUGAAAAUGGUGACGGUGGCAGAGGUGACUAGUGGUGGUGACUGUUGAUUAUGAAUAGAGUGGUGAAUAUUAUCCAACGCUAGAAUAUUCCUUCAUAAGCUAUUAAGACUUGGUUCUAGAUUUGAAUGAGUAAGACCUAUUCAGGCCUAUUAAGAGUUAAAACCUUAAUAAAAAACAAAUGCACUUAAUUGUCUGAAAUCUGAACUAUUUAGAUUCACACCUUUAUUAAGUGCAAACAAAUGAGGGCAUGUCUUAAAAUAAUUCAAAAUAUUCAGUAAAAUUACAAAUCGAAGCAUCAAAUAUACAAACCCCUCCCCAAACCCACAAGAAUAAAGAAAAUAAAUUACAAUCCACUUUUUUUUAAAAAAAUAAAAAUUGAAUACCUACCAUAUAUUUGAUACAUUUAAUAAAACUCGAUUAAUUUAAAUUCAUACGUUAUAAAAUUCAUGAAAUUUAAAUUUUGAUUCUACCUUUGUGCAGGGGCAGCUCAAGCCCGUUGGUGGCCUAAAGCCAAAAAUGAAUCGGAGGCUUAAUUUAAAAAAAUAAAUAAAUAUUUUCUUAAUUUAAAGUCUAUUCUUCUAACUUUUUAAAAAUGCAAAGUUGCUAAUAUAUCUCUUACAAAAGUAUUUUGAGAAACAAAGUUAUUUCUUUUUUGGAUAUAUGAUUUUUUUUCUUACUUUUUUAAUAAAUAGUGCUCCUUCCAUUUUAAUUCUUUUUUGAUUUAUUUCGACUUAACACGGUGUUUGGAGUUUAAAAAAAAUUAAAAAAAAGAUUAAUUGUAAAUUAUUAAAUUAAAGAUAUGUAAAAUACACCAAAAAUGUUCUUUAAUUCUAUAAGCUUACAUAUUUAAAAAAGACAAACAAAUUAAAAUCAAUAGUACAAAAUAUUUUUAUAAAUAAACCCUAUAAUAAUUUUAUUAUUGCUAAGAAAAUAAAGCCGCUCAAAUUUGGGUGCCCAAGGCAUGUGCCUAAUUUCUUAAGGCAUGGAGCUGCCCCUACCUUUGUGUAUUGCUUAAGUUGGAUAUAAACAGACAAAGAAAUUUAUCAAUAUUUUCGCCUAGAAUUUUAUAAGUUAUUAUGUAAAUCUCAUGUCACAUUUGAAUUUGAUACAUUCAAUAUUCAACAGUAUUAUAACACAAUAACAACAACAAACCUAGUAUAUUCCCACAUAAUGGAGUUUGGAGAGGGUAGAAUGUAUGCAGUCCAUACCACUACCCCGAAGGAAUAGAGAGACUGUUUUCCGAUAGACCCCCGGCUCAACAGUAUUAUAAUACAAAUUGUGUUAUUUUAUUAAUGAAAAUUAUGUCAUUUAUUUAAUUCCAAACGUUGCACUACUAACUUUCGAAGAUUCUCGAUUAUGAAAAAAAUUGUAUAAUGAAAAAAUGAUAUUGAAAAACUUGUGAUGAUUUAUAAGUAAAUGAAUGAAAAGUGCACAUUUCACGUAAUUAAAGACUGAAUAUAUUUAGUUAAAUAUCAUAAAAUCAAAAUAAAUUUUAUUGAUAACUAGAGUCUAAAAAAUGCUAUUUAAUUAUUAAUCUGAUACAUAAAUAUAUUUAGAAAAAUACACCCUGUAUUCUCACGCCAAUGAAAUCAAAUAUAACAUAUAUUCCUUUUCAUUAUGAUAAUCAAUCUUAUCGUUAAACUCAAUGAAUCAACUUUUAAUUACGAUGUCAUAUGUCAGAAUGAAGCUAACCCAAAUUCUUAAGAUUAAUUUAUGCACAAAGUGACAGUGAUUUUCUUGAAAUCCAAAUUUAAAUAAUAUAAUACACACUGUACUUCAAAUAAAAAUAUUUCAAGUUCCCCAUUAAAAAAAUAUAUAUGCAGGGAGGUUAGCAUACAAAAGGACAAAGCUUUUUAACAAAAUAAAAUAUACUAUUUUGAAACUAUAAAUUAAAAUAUUUUCUCCGUCCAUCUUUACUCGUCCACUGUACUAAAAAUAAAUAUCUAAUAAUAGAAUAAUUUAACCAUUUCUAUUAUAUUUUGCCUUUACUAUUAUAUAUUAUUCACUAUAUUUUUUGAAGCAUUAGAUGUAUUAUAUUAAAGAAUGAUAUGAUAAAUUACUUUUAUUAUUUAUUAUUUCUUAAUUUAUAUGUCAAGUUAAUAGUGAAUAAACAUUAUUGAGCGGAGAGAGCAUCAAGAAAGAUAAACACAAAGUUAAAAUGUUUGCUUAGAUUUUAAGGGAUUAAUAUAUGAACCGAUCAAUGUUGACUACUGUAGUUUAUACAUCCAAAAUUACUUGACAAUUUCUUCCUAUCAUUAAUAUGUUUUGGUAAUUCAAGAAUUUCUAUAUAUAGAUAAAAGUUUACAUAUUUCGUUCAUUAUUGUUAUUGUUGUGAUCCAUUAUUACUAUUAUUAUCUCAUCGUUUAUGAUUAUCGUCUUCAUUUAAAACUGUCAUUAAUUUUAGCCAAUACAGUUAACUGUCACUUCUUAGCCAUCAUUUGAAAUCAUCAAUAUCAAUUAUCAUUACUAUAGUAACAACCAUCAAUCAUCGAUGUGAUUUAUAUUUAGAUAUGUUAAUCUUAAUGAAAAUGAACAAGUCCUUAGGUAUUUUGAGGUUUUCUAUUUUUUGUGAUAAGAACUUGAUAAAUUUAUCAGAUUGACAAAUAAUAUAAACUUUUUACUUGUAGACUAUACUGAGUAUAUUGUUGUUACGUUGUUACUGUUAUUUUUUUUAUGUCCACGUACCCUUCUGCUUAUACUGUUAAUUACAUUUAAAAAAAAAAAAUCAUAUAGCGGUUAAUUACUUUUUUUUAAAAAAAAAAUCAUAUAGACAAAAAGGUUAAUUAUGAAAAAAAUUAGGUUUCAUAGGUAACUUUAAUUGUGCACCAUUGUUAGUGUUUCUUUCUAACUCUAAUUCCCAAAGAGUUUCUUUUCACCACAUGUCCAAUGGAGCAUGUUUAACAUGAAAAAAUUAAAGUUAACCUUUUUUUAUUUCUUUAAUUAAUAUUUAAUACCGUACGUUUAAUUUACGUCGUUGCUUUUUCACCUUUCUAACAAAGUUAAAUUAGUAGAUGUGUAGACUUUGACAAUUUUUAUUAUUUUUCUAGGGGCUAGAUUCAUUGUUCUUCAGUUUAUUUGGACAGGAAAACAAAAAACUAAAUUAAAAACGUCAAAUGACUUUAUUUUUUCUUCUAAAAUUACAGCAAAUAUAAUGAUAUACCUAGGUCAAUGAUUGUGGUCAAUAUAUCUAGGAAAAUAAACUCAGUGAAAAUAAAAUAAUAAUAAAUAAAUUCUUGAAUCACAUGGGUGCACAUGUUAUUAGAUGUUGAGAGUUCUAUGCCCGAUUGGAGAUUUUGCCAAAUUAAUUAAUUAAUUUUCUAUUUUGAGAUAAUCAUGUCAGGAUUUCAACUAAGGGUUCAAUAUUUGAAGAAAAAUUAGCCGAAAGGGAUCGAACACCUACUAUAUAUACAUAAAAAAAAUAAUUUUAAUCAUAUAUAAAUAGUAUAUUUUACAUCGAAGGAGGUUCAAACGAACCCCCUAGCCAUAGGCUGGCUCGAACCCUAACUAAGAUACUUGUAUUUUGAUAUCAGUGCAAUAGCUGCGGUAGGAUGAAUGAAAUUUCCCCACGCGCCUCAAUCAAAAUCAUUGAAUUUGAGUCCUAAAUAUUGGGAAUUCUAACCUAACAAGAAAUAUUUUUCUCUUUAAUUAUUCCAACACGAUAAAAAUUUUUGAUUAAUCUUAACCCCAACACUCAUAUUAUUUUUCAGUAUUGGUUCGAAACCAAAAACAAUAUAUUUGAAUCUUGAUAGAAUUUGAUAUUGGGCUAUUAACAAUUUGUUGUUACAAUAAAUUGAAACUCUGUGUAGGAGUUGUUGAUUUUAAUUGAGCAAUUUUGGAUAUUGACGAUCAAACACUUUGAAUGAGUGUAAGGUAAAAUCCCGCUUCAGUGUAAUAGCCCGUAACUACAUUAGACAAGUCUGCAAUGAACUUGGCCGAGAAAAUAUGUAGAGAAUUUCGUACGUAAGACGAUAAGACCCACAAUUUCGAAGAAAGAUUACUUACUUAACCAGCUUGACCAUCCUAGCGAGUUUGUCUUCAUUUUAAUCUUUACAUAUAUAACUACUCCUAACGUGCAUAUUUUAAAAUCCAUUGAAAUUACCUUUCCAACUAAUAGAAAUUAAUCAUAAUCAAUUAGUUGAGAAGUACAUUAAUCAGUUCUUAAUUAAACACUAAUAAUUGCUUAGAUUCCAAUUAGUAUUGACUUUCAGAAUCAAACAAACUCUUAAUCACGUACUCUAUGAGAAUAUAUUUAUUAUUAAAUUUUGAUAUUCAAACCUGUAAUUAUACGUAUACAAUUUCUUUAACUUGUAAUGCAAGCACAUAAAUCUCGUAAUCAUUAAUUUAUAUUUGGAUAUUAAACAAAUAAGAUCCUCUAACUCUGACUUUUGAUAUGUGGUUAUUAGAUUCCCAACAAGUCAGUGGUAUUAAUAUAUUAUUGAAUCUAUAGACUAAAACGAAAUAUAUUAGUCAUCCAAAAUUUAGUUAUUAGCAUAUUAAUUAUUCCAUCUUGUAUCGUACAUAAAUAAUUAUAUAAAUUUUAUAUCGGUUUUAAAUUUCGAACAAAUCAUCUUAUUAAUUUUAUACACAAACAACUUACCUCCUGAAUAAUUAUCAAGCAUGAUAUUAAAAGGAAUUGUUUCAGAUUACUUGUCCAGAAAUCAAAAAAGUUCUAUUACUUCUUUCUCAUGCUCCCAUUAGUAUUAAUUAACUAACUAUAUGAGAUACUAAUAGUCGAAAUUAUAGUUUUAUAGUAUUAUUAAUAAAAUUAAUUUAGCAAGAUAAUACACCUUUAAUUAAUUAUUUUUUAAGGAAUGUGUCAAGUUAACCGUGGCCAAAUAAAAUGAAAAGGAGUGGGUACUAAUUAAUGACAGCCAGCUUUACAAUUAAAUAACAAAAUUAAUCACUAAUUUUAUUUGACAAUAAAUAUUAAUCAACAAAUUCUAUUGACUACGAGAGAUUUAAUAAAGAUUAGCAAUGAAAUCCGUAACUAAUUUUAAUUUCUUUAGUGAUUAGCUAGGGACCAUUUAUUCGAGGAAUGCAAAUUUACUAAGGGGAAAGCAAAAAUAGCUAGGUUGCUUAAGUUUACUUGUAUUGAGUUUAUAUUCCGAGGCGAGUCUCAAAUUUAAAGUUUAUGAUUUUUGAAUUUUUACCCAUUCAACUUUUUUUUUCUUUUUUUGGUUUCCCAAGAUAUCCCUACAGUCAGCAGUCGUAAGAUUAAUCAUUCGUUCCUCGGUCAGCGCAUUUUGCUGUAGGAAACUGACCACAAACUUUGCUCUAAUCGCCAGAGGCGGGGAUCAAACCCUAUUUGUAUGUCCAAUUUGAGCAAAAUAAAUUAUGGUGUUUUGGAUUAGCAAAAUUAGAGACCGAUGUUAUUUUUCGAGAGUAGCUAUAACUUUUUCUAGGAAAAAAUAUUUUCCUUCGUAUCGAAUAUAUCCUAGUGAAGACUUUGUCACGCAUGAUGACAAAAUUCAAAUGACUACAAAUGUAGACACCUAAUUUCGUCCCUCCCCGAUGUCGUUUUUACCCAUUCUUAUUUUAUCCUACCGUGUACCCUCACCCAUGUUAUUAUACCCUCACAAAAUACAAAAAAAAAUUAAAAAUAAUAAUAAAAUAACACAAUUCCUAACAAAACCUAUCAUAACUAAUUCUAUCUUAUCCUAACAACCUACCCAAUCCAAAUGAACCACACCACCCCAUACCCUACCCCACCUACCCUACCCUAAUACCCACCUCACAAUAUAUAUACACAGAUACACACAUACUCGAGGAGGAACAUUUUUUUGGCAUUAACAGUAACAAAAAAGAAAAGGACGAUUUUGGAUCAUCAACAACAAAAAAAAAUAUAAUAACACAGCAUAUCUCAAGAAAAUUGGUCUUCAAUAAUGAGCACAGGCGCGUCUUUGCUUCUUUAUCAGAGAAGCAUCGACUAGUCUCCAUCCAUUCUUCAAAAAAAUGCAUAGCAAGACUACUGACCCCUCCCUUGUUUGUUCUUCUUCUUCUCCUCAACCACCCCCAAAAUGAAACCCUAUCCACCACCAUAACUGACCAUCGGCUGCCCUCACUUGUCAAGAUUUCCCUCAAUUUUAUCUCCUCCAACCCGUGAAACCAACGGACAUUAGAAAAACAGUUCCAAAUCGGUACAAGAAUUGAAAAUCAAUUUCAAAUCCACACUAAAGGUCCAAGGAUCGUCCAAAAUUUUAGGUUAUGUGAUGUCUCUUUCGUGUUUUUGAAUUUGAAUCCCCAUCUUUUUUUCUAUCCGUCGGCUUCUAUAGAUUUAAGUGUCAAAUUCAAAUUUUGAAGUUCUAAUUUAACUAUAAAUACCUUCAAUUCCAUCACUAAAAGAGGGAGUGUUUGGAGAGGUCCAAAAAUGGAGGUUUUGUCAGAUUCGAGGGAAAGGGGAGAAAACGAGUUUUAAAAGAUAUAAAAGUUUCAGAUCGGUCGAGAAAGGAGGAAAACGUUCAAAACUCAGGCUUGGGUAUUUUGGAAAUAUGCAGGAGAUCACAAGAAUUCUUGGUCUUUCUUCUUAAUUUCAUGUUAAAAUUGAGUUUCCGGUGUAGAGUUU
rnacentral:lncRNA from 1 species